ACAGUCUUUCAGGAUGUCUGAAAGGGGCAAGUCUGUUUGUGUGGGGUAAGAAAUGCGGGGAGACAAACGGACAGUGGACAGAUUGCAGAGAGCUCUGUGUGCUGAGAGGAGGGUGCAGACCAGAUUUUUAAAUUGAGAAUGCAACAGUGAAGGAUUUCAAGCUUGGAGUGAGAGGGGAGACUACGAGCCUGCAGUGAUAAGGCAAAGCUGAAGAUUUCAGAGCCAAGGCCACACCCUACAGUUGCCAUGGAAUGGGGUGGCACAGUGGGCUUUGGAGGUAAAGUCUGCAGUUGAGAAGUUCAAGGGUAGUAAGUACUUAAUGCCAGGUCAAUCAUCCCUUUUAAGACACAGAUAUCAUCUGCAGCGUUUUCAGGAACAGCGAUAGAGAAGAAAAGCGGGCAGCUACUAGAUAUUCAAAUCUUCCACAAAUGUCAGGGAGAGAGUCAGGCAGUUGGUAGAAGAGACCUGUAAAGCUGGGUACCAUAAGCCUCAACACAGGUGUUUUUAUUUCAAGGCUGGGGAGCUGUGCUUUGGAAAAGCAAUGAGGAGGUAACAGGAAGUCUCUUCUCCUUCUAAAUCCUGUGUUCAUGGAGGAGGGUGGGUUUUCUCCUCUUGAGAGGGAGUUACAUACAAGUUUAAGGGAAAAGAGUCUGAAGUUUCCACCUAAAUGAUUCUGAAAGAAUCAGGUUAAGAAGCAAAUCUGUUCCGAUGUGAUGCCAACUAAGUACAUGAUCUGAUUGUUCCAGUUAUCCUGUGCCAAAAAGAAGCAAAAAAUGGGCUUUCCACGGAUUAUUGAACACGGUGUCAGUGUGCCUGAGAAACAAGCCUCUAUUAAAAGCUUUCUAGGCAAUUUGAAUCAGGUUGCUGAGCUUUGAAAAACAUUCUACAGCCAAGUGUAGGAGACCCAAGAACUUGGAGAACAUACACGCUCUGAGCUAUUUCAAAAAAUACAGCACUUAAGCCAAUUGAGCUGUAGUCAGGGCAACACAGGCAUGAAUAACAUGAAGGUAGAUUUUAGUAGAAGAGAAGAACAGGCAAGGGAUGCAGUCAUGUGCAUUUGAAACACAGGACAAACAUAAGCCCUUUUUAUCUCAAUAAAGUAAGCGCAGUUUGGGGGCAUUCUGCGGGGUGAGAUAAUUUGUUGGAAUUUAGACGAGGCCCAGAAUCAUCCAUUGGAUAUUAAAUCCACACAUAAGCCUCUGCUAGAAUUGUGCCAGAGUAAGGGCAAUCCUGGAAUUCCUCCAGGCAGUCCUACCACAUCACCCAGAUGUCUGGUUUCUAGGUGAAUGAAUUGAAGAAAGAUCAAGAAAUAUAUGGUGGGUAAGAGGUAGGAGAGAAAGCCUGUGUAAAUUAAAUCAGAUCUCCUCAUACAUAAACCUACUCAAUUACUUCUAAAGCCUCCUUUUAUUUCUAACAUACAAUAAUUGAGUUAAAGAAAUAUAAUAUUCUUGUUUCAGGAAUAGGAAUUAUUUUCUCAGGCAAAGAAUGAAAGGUAAAAAGUACUACAGUGUGCCUACGUCAUGUGCUGCUAAUGCUAUUUUCUUCUCGAGGUGCUGAAUUGUUUGUUUUCCUGGGAAAGCUCUAGGGCAGAGCUAGCAAAAUAUCAAGAUAGCAGAUAUGCAUGUAGAGCCAUGAGGCGCCUUGCUCAGCUCUCCCUUCAAGAGAACUUGCUUCAAGGUGGGAGGCUGGGGAACACCGUCCACCUGCUCUGUCUUCAAAUGCACUGGGGCAUUCAUGCAGAGGCUAUGUUUUCCCGGGGCUGCUCCCAGCCUGUGACUGAGCAAGGCAGAAGUGCUAGCAUCAUGCCAUUCCUGCAGAAGGUGGGUUUCCUCUAAUGGGUAAACUUGGCUCCAGGGUUCGCCAUCAGCAUGGACAUAACACACGCAGAGCUUGCCAGAGGCUGAGGCCCCUCCUACCACAUCCUGCAAUUUUGUCUCUUCUGUCACAGGUGUCAGAACUGCUCUCAGUCCAAGGAUCGUCCCCCACAUAUUCCUCCUCCUCUCCCCUUUAUCCUUCCCAGGUCCCCCACCCCAAACUCUCAAAUCUACUUCCAUCUUCAAAUCUGCUUCUUGGAGAUUAUGAACAAAAGAGGAUUUGCAUUUGAUAAGAUCCCAAAGAGAGAGGAAGGGGAUAAUCCAUAUAAUUCUGACACUGGUCACCAGGCGCUUUUUUGUUUUCUUUUGACUGAACACCUGAUGGAGCUGUUAGAAUUAAGUCACAUACGAGGUGACACAGACUGGCUUCCCCUUUUGGGGCAGUGCCUGGGAGGGACAGAUGACUCAUCAUAUUGUGGACGGGGGAGUGGAAGAUCCUGGCUCCAUCUUGGAACAUAGGCUAAUUAGGGGUGAGAAGGAACAGACAGGUCCACACAAACAACCUCCCCCACCUCCAAGUUUCUCAACUGAGACUGAGGUGAGAAAUCAGCUCAGCAGAGACAGACAAAGGUUGUGUGCUCAAUUCAUGCCAGUUCACUUUGCACUUUCCAUUCAGGUUUCAGGGUUUACUUCUGGGACUCCUCAUGUCUUUCAGGGUUGUCCUGAAUGUUCAUUUGUCCAGGAUCCUUGGAGGGAAAAAAUGGGGGACUGUGCCUGGUUUCGUAUCUCUCAAAUGGAAUAUGAGAGCUUCAGACCGUUCCCUUGUUUGCAGCUGAGAAAGUGUCAGUGCUAAAAGCAAAGGGAGGUGGGGCAGAGGGACCAUGGAUAGUACCCAAAUGUGAGUCACACCUACACCAUCAGCUUUAGAACCUGUGAACUAGAAAUCUCAGAAAAUAAUCAUAAAAUUAUACUGGCUUUUCUGCCCUGUAGAAGGACUGUAGAGACAGAUUCUUGCAGAAAUCUUGCCUUGCUCCCACCCAGCCCAUGACUUUUCUCGCCACAAGGAAAGCACUGGUUAAGGAGGUGAUUCAGAGGUAGGUUCCCCAGGUGCGUCCAUCGAUGAGUGACCUCUCCUCUGCAACAGGGAAAUACUUUCAUCAUUCAGGAGGAAUACUGAGUUAGGAGGCAGAAGCUCUGGGUCCUGCUUUUAACGCUUGCACAAACUUACUGUGUAGCUUUAAGCAAGGCAUCCAGCCUCUCGCUCUCAGUGUCCUGUGCAGCCAAACUGAUUGAUCUAUGAGGCAAUGUGUGGCCCAGCUCUGCCGUUCACUAUAUUACCAUGUAUUCGCCUAAUAAAAAACUGGCACACGGAAUGUAACAAUGCGAUUGCAUAUUUGACAUUGGGGUUGUCCUUAUAAGUCUAGGUAGCCAUCUUUGCAGCACUGGUUCUUUCAAAAGAAAACUAUUUUCAUAAAUAUUUCAUUUGGAAAUCCCCAUUUAUCUGGAAGACUUAGUAAAGCAUCUUCUGUAGACACAGAAGCACAUUAUCGCCUGCUUACUUCAGAGUUAGGUUACCAGGCAUGUUCAUAAAAAAAUAACAAAGCAUAUUACUUUAGUCAAACUUUACAGAGAGGAUAGAUUGCCUACAAAGAGGUUAUUGUAAUAUAGCUCAUAAUUUUUUCAGGAGUAUGCUAAAUA
rnacentral:lncRNA from 1 species